UGCAGAACAAAUGCACCACCAUCAGC
rnacentral:piRNA from 1 species